GACGAACGCUGGCGGCGUGCCUAAUACAUGCAAGUAGGACGCACAGUUUAUACCGUAGCUUGCUACACCAUAGACUGUGAGUUGCGAACGGGUGAGUAACGCGUAGGUAACCUGCCUAUUAGAGGGGGAUAACUAUUGGAAACGAUAGCUAAUACCGCAUAACAGUAUGUAACACAUGUUAGAUGCUUGAAAGAUGCAAUUGCAUCGCUAGUAGAUGGACCUGCGUUGUAUUAGCUAGUAGGUAGGGUAAUGGCCUACCUAGGCGACGAUACAUAGCCGACCUGAGAGGGUGAUCGGCCACACUGGGACUGAGACACGGCCCAGACUCCUACGGGAGGCAGCAGUAGGGAAUCUUCGGCAAUGGGGGGAACCCUGACCGAGCAACGCCGCGUGAGUGAAGAAGGUUUUCGGAUCGUAAAGCUCUGUUGUUAAGGAAGAACGAGUGUGAAAAUGGAAAGUUCAUACUGUGACGGUACUUAACCAGAAAGGGACGGCUAACUACGUGCCAGCAGCCGCGGUAAUACGUAGGUCCCGAGCGUUGUCCGGAUUUAUUGGGCGUAAAGCGAGCGCAGGCGGUUAGAAAAGUCUGAAGUGAAAGGCAGUGGCUCAACCAUUGUAGGCUUUGGAAACUGUUUAACUUGAGUGCAGAAGGGGAGAGUGGAAUUCCAUGUGUAGCGGUGAAAUGCGUAGAUAUAUGGAGGAACACCGGUGGCGAAAGCGGCUCUCUGGUCUGUAACUGACGCUGAGGCUCGAAAGCGUGGGUAGCAAACAGG
rnacentral:rRNA from 1 species